rnacentral:rRNA from 1 species
CAGCAGCCGCGGUAAUACGUAGGGUGCAAGCGUUAAUCGGAAUUACUGGGCGUAAAGCGUGCGCAGGCGGUUAUAUAAGUCAGAUGUGAAAUCCCCGGGCUCAACCUGGGAACUGCAUUUGAGACUGUAUGGCUAGAGUGUGUCAGAGGGGGGUGGAAUUCCACGUGUAGCAGUGAAAUGCGUAGAGAUGUGGAGGAACACCGAUGGCGAAGGCAGCCCCCUGGGCCAAUACUGACGCUCAUGCACGAAAGCGUGGGGAGCAAACAGGAUUAGAUACCCCGGUAGUCCCUGUCUCUUAUAC